AAAAAAAACAGGAAAAAAAAGGUUUCCCUCUCAGCAUAGGGCUGUUAUCUCAUUUCUGUUUCUGGUAAGGGUCAAGGCUCCAUUUUCACUGAGUUAUAUACAACUUCAAACCCCUCUAGUGAACUUGUGGGUGUAAAACUUGGGGAAAAAGAAAGAAAAAAAAAUCUCUUUCUAUACUUCCCAGAAAUGGCUCUUUGACAGGAGUCUUCUUUUUAGACUGUUGACUGCCAAAUUCACCUGCAAGCUUUUUCUGGGACAUGAAUGGAUUCCAGGCCUCCCACACCAAAAUGCUGCCUCUAUCUCCAGUCCUCACAGGGAUGUCAGCACUAAGACACCUGCUCCUGUUGGAUAUUAACUGGCUCAUCAUAAUCUACAGUCAUCACCACGCAGUUGGGGUGCUCACACGCUGCCAGACAACAUCAUUAAAGGCGGUGUGGCAAUAAAACUUUACUACUGAAAAGUUACCUCCACUUCACACUGGUGUUAGGGAGACCUUGGGCGAUGCAACUGAAUUUGACGGAGCAGGGAAUCGGCAGCAAAAAGCAUCAGCUGUGAAUCAAUCACUCACCCAAGCUGUUCUGCAGUGCUUGUGUCUGACCAGCGUCAUGAGCGAGUGGUUCACGACAGCACAGACACACACUGGUGCUCCCCGUGCACGAGACAAAGCUCCAAGUGAAGGAGAGAAGUUGUGUGCCCAUGGCCAUGCUUGGUUUCCCUGCUGCGUGGGAUGGCACAUCAGAGCAAGUGGUUGUUGCCUACAGUCUGGACAGCUGUGCCCCACACCUAAAAAGAAGAAAAUCAAAGAAAUUCAGCUUUUUUUUUCUUUUUCUUUUUUUUUUUUUUUUACUGCUAGUUAAAAGGGUCCAUGUGAUUCAGAGACGGGAUGACACUGUCUAUGUGCCAGACUCUCUCCUUUGUCAUGGGAUCAUGGAGAUGCAGCUCCUCCGCAGGGAGAAGUACUUAUGGCAAUGUAUUAUUGAAGAAAAUCAUAGUGCUUUGGCUCAGAUGUCAAUUCCCAUUAUAAGGCAAUGCUGUGACAAUGUUCUGACCACAGAAGAGUCCCAUUGACCACUGGACCUUGCAUCUGCUCCUACUUUGCCUGUGACUUCUUUGGUUCCCUGAAAGACAAUCUUAUCUGCAUUGCAGAUGAUCCUUUAAUCCUCAGGUCCUCCUGGAGCACAGCACUGCUUACAGCUGGCUUGGCAGAGGCAUGGCUGUUCAGCAUAAUUUAAGGCUGUGAGCACACAUCAUCUCCCGGCUACAGGCAUGCCCGCGGGCUGCUGCCCCUCUGCCACACCGGCUCCGUGUCGCUGCCUCUUUGGCAUCUGAGGCACUGUCUGAGCGCUCCCUCCUUCGAACAACACAAGCGAAGACCUGCAGCCUGCACUCAGUAACUCUCCCCUGCUGAACCACAGACUUGUCUCCCGCUGGGGUCAGCAGGAAGCCUGUGAUGGUCACACAGCAGUGCUCCUGCUCAGUGUACUGCAAUACAGACUUAAGCCUCAUCUGUGGCAUGUCAGCCGAUAUUCCCCCUCAGGUGAAAUUCUUAAGGAAGAAGGUCAAGGCCACUUUAAAAAAAAAAUACGUGAUUAUAUGCUAUGGGUUGAUUUCAUCACCCACUCUUUCUGCCUUGGACCAAUUCAUUAAAUCAUUAGUUAAGCUGACUUAGCUCCCUUGACUCAGUAGCUAUUCCUGGUGCAAGGCUUUUUUUAAAAAAUGAGGGCAUUCACAGGCAAAUUCAGCAGCCAUCCAUCAACCAGCUGUCCCUCGAGAAAAGGAAAUUAGGGCUUUGACUAUCCUCCCAGUUUUAUGAUCUUGUCUUUCCACUAAAAUUGAGCUAGACCUCUGGGGGUAAGGAUAACAAAAAGCUCGCUGAGUCAGUAUUUAGGUUCUGCUUCCCUUUGCCACAUAUUACUCCCGCUUUGCAGCCAGGCUCCCACUCUCCUGAAUUCUCUGUCCAGAAGUUGGAGAUUAUAAUAGUGGAAAUUAUUUCGUUCCUGGGCCUGAAAGUAAAAAUAAUAACAACAAUAAUAAUAAUAAUAAUCUUAUGCUUUCAGAAAAAUUUUGC
ensembl:lncRNA